AUUGAACGCUGGCGGCAGGCCUAACACAUGCAAGUCGAGCGGAUGAAGGGAGCUUGCGCCUGGAUUCAGCGGCGGACGGGUGAGUAAUGCCUAGGAAUCUGCCUGGUAGUGGGGGAUGACGUCCGGAGACGGGCGCUAAUACCGCAUACGUCCUGAGGGAGAAAGUGGGGGAUCUUCGGACCUCACGCUAUCAGAGGAGCCUAGGUGGGAGUAGCUAGUUGGUGGGUUAAAGGCCUACCAAGGCGACGAUCCGUAACUGGUCUGUGAGGAUGAUCGGUCACCUGGGAAGUGGGACACGGUCCAGGCGCCUACGAGAGGCAGCAGUGGGGAAUAUUGGACAAUGGGCGAAAGUCUGAUCCAGUCAUGCCGCGUGUGUGAAGAAGGUCUUCGGAUUGUAAAGCACUUUAAGUUGGGAGGAAGGGCAGUAAGUUAAUACCUGGCUGUUUUGACGUUACCAACAGAAGAAGCACCGGCUAACUUCGUG
rnacentral:rRNA from 1 species